GGAGGGCCACAGCUCAGUGGUAGAGCAUCUGCUUUGCAUGCAGAAUGUCCCAGGUUCAAUGCCUGGCUUUUCCA